CCUACGGGUGGCAGCAGUAGGGAAUAUUGCUCAAUGGGGGAAACCCUGAAGCAGCAACGCCGCGUGGAGGAUGAAGGUUUUCGGAUUGUAAACUCCUUUUGUUAGAGAAGAUAAUGACGGUAUCUAACGAAUAAGCACCGGCUAACUCCGUGCCAGCAGCCGCGGUAAUACGGAGGGUGCAAGCGUUACUCGGAAUCACUGGGCGUAAAGAGCGCGUAGGCGGGAUAGCAAGUCAGAGGUGAAAUCCUAGGGCUUAACCAUAGAACUGCAGUUGAAACUGUUAUUCUAGAGUAUGGGAGAGGUAGGUGGAAUUCUUGGUGUAGGGGUAAAAUCCGUAGAGAUCAAGAGGAAUACUCAUUGCGAAGGCGACCUGCUAGAACAUAACUGACGCUGAUGCGCGAAAGCGUGGGGAGCAAACAGGAUUAGAUACCCCAGUAGUC
rnacentral:rRNA from 1 species